UGAAAGUAGGCUCAUUUAAUUUUUUUUUUUUUUACUUUAUUUAUGUGAAACAUUUUACAGAUGCAUAGAAUAGACAGGAAAUUAUUACCUAAAAAUAUUAUAAAAUAUUUACUCAAUAGAUAUCAUAUGGACUCGUGCGAACAAAACAUAAACCAGAUUACUCCUUAUUAUAAAUUAUUAAAACAACAAGUAUGUGGGAAAUACAUAAAUAUAUAUACAUAAAUAUAUAUACAUAAAUAUAUGUACAUAAAUAUAUAUACAUAAAUACAGAGAGAAAGACAAAUAAUUACUAUUUUUUUUGUUGAUUCAAUAAUUUGUUCUAUUGUUUAUCAGUACAUACAUAUGUAUAUAUAAAUACAUAAAUAUAAUUAAACUUUUUAUCUUUUUUUUAGUCACUUUACCCUUCAAAAAUAAAUUAUUUCCUUUAUAAAACCACAUUCCCGAAUAAACACGAACAAUUAUUCCUAUUUUGGGGCAAUGGACCAGCUAUACUAAAUUUUAUUUUUCAAACACUAUGUUUUUGUUUCUUAAUCAUAUUGUCUUGCUGGAUGUUUUUAUUAAAAGUAGAUAAUAUAACAUGGUUACAAUUAUAUAAAUACGGUAGUUUAAUUAUAUGUGGAUGUAUAUUAUUUUUUACAUUUAUAUUAAAAUAUAUUGUGUAUUAUUUUAUAAUGAUAAGUAAAACGGGUUAUUUAAUUGACACGAAGUUGUUAGAAAAGGUAAAUCAAAACUAAAAUAUAAAUAAAUAGCAAAAAAAAAAAAAUAAAUAAAUAAAAUAAUACAAUAACAUAAAAAAAAAAAGAAAAAAAAAAAAAAGAAGAAAGUGUAGGAUUUUAUUUUAUUCUUCUUUUUUUAUAUUGCAAUAUAUUACUAAUAUUAUUAUUGUUUUUUCAGGUAUGGGAAUUUGAAAGAUCAGAUAACAUAAAGAGAAUAUCCGAAUUUAUUGAUGCUAUAAAAAUAAAGUCCACCUUACAUGCACUUAAAGAAGGAGGGGAUGUAUUUUGGAGACAGUUGUUAAUAAAAUCAAGCACAGUGCCAUCAAAUAUACAGGAAAAAAUGUUUUCCAUAUGGGUUAGUUUAGAUGAGGAAAAUAGAGGUGUUAUUGAUUCUGUAAAAAUAUUAAAAUUUUUAAAAUCUCAGGGAAUUAAUUUGAAUUCAGAAAAUGAUGUUAAAGUAAGAUAUAUUUUUUUUUAUUUUUUAUGGCAAAAAAAAAAAAAAAAAAAAAAAAAAAAAAAAAAAAAAAAAAAAAAAAUGCUAGUAUGGCACACCUUUUCAUUUUGCUACAUCUGAAUAAACAUAAUUUUUUUUUAGGAAUUCUUGGAAGUAUUUGAUAGAAAUAACAAAAAAGGUUUAAAUCAGGAAGAGUUUUUUGUUCUUAUUAUUAUAGUUAAACAAAUUCUUGUAGAACUUUUAGAUAUUAAUGCUGUUCAGGUGAAAAUAAUAUUUAUAUAUACUAAUACGGACAAAGUCAAUUUUUCAAAAACUGUGGUUAUAUAUAUAUAUAUAUAUAUAUAUUUUUUUUUUUUAAUUUAUCUUUUGUAGUCUUUAUUCGAAGAAGUGUACUGCAUACCAUGGAAUUCGAUGUCGUCAAUUGACGUUAACAGUUUAAAAAAAAUAUUAUCCGAAGUAAGAAAAAGGAAAAAUUAUAGAAGCAACAUAUUAAUUAAACUUUACAAGUUUAUUUAAAUUAUUUGUAAUCUAUAAGUUUACCUUUUUCAAUUUAUUUUGUAAUUUUGUAAUUUAAAAUUCUUUUUUCUUUUUUUUUUUUAGUUAAACUUACAUUGGCCUUAUGGAAAAAUUCGUAAUCUAAUUGAUUUUGUAUGCGAAAAUAAAA
ensembl:lncRNA